rnacentral:rRNA from 1 species
UGGCUCAGAACGAACGCUGGCGGCAUGCCUUACACAUGCAAGUCGAACGGCAGCGCGGGAGCAAUCCUGGCGGCGAGUGGCGAACGGGUGAGUAAUACAUCGGAACGUGCCCAAUCGUGGGGGAUAACGCAGCGAAAGCUGUGCUAAUACCGCAUACGAUCUACGGAUGAAAGCAGGGGACCGCAAGGCCUUGCGCGAAUGGAGCGGCCGAUGGCAGAUUAGGUAGUUGGUGAGGUAAAGGCUCACCAAGCCGACGAUCUGUAGCUGGUCUGAGAGGACGACCAGCCACACUGGGACUGAGACACGGACCAGACUCCUACGUGUCGCAGCAG